AGGUAGUGGUUGUAAUAGUAGC
rnacentral:miRNA from 1 species